AGAGUUUGAUCCUGGCUCAGGACGAACGCUGGCGGCGUGCUUAACACAUGCAAGUCGAACGGAAAGGCCCUUCGGGGUACUCGAGUGGCGAACGGGUGAGUAACACGUGGGUGAUCUGCCCUGCACUUUGGGAUAAGCCUGGGAAACUGGGUCUAAUACCGAAUAGGACCACGCGCUUCAUGGUGUGUGGUGGAAAGCUUUUGCGGUGUGGGAUGGGCCCGCGGCCUAUCAGCUUGUUGGUGGGGUAAUGGCCUACCAAGGCGACGACGGGUAGCCGGCCUGAGAGGGUGACCGGCCACACUGGGACUGAGAUACGGCCCAGACUCCUACGGGAGGCAGCAGUGGGGAAUAUUGCACAAUGGGCGCAAGCCUGAUACAGCGACGCCGCGUGAGGGAUGACGGCCUUCGGGUUGUAAACCUCUUUCAAUAGGGACGAAGCGUGAGUGACGGUACCUAUAGAAGAAGCACCGGCCAACUACGUGCCAGCAGCCGCGGUAAUACGUAGGGUGCGAGCGUUGUCCGGAAUUACUGGGCGUAAAGAGCUCGUAGGUGGUUUGUCGCGUUGUUCGUGAAAACUCACAGCUUAACUGUGGGCGUGCGGGCGAUACGGGCAGACUAGAGUACUGCAGGGGGGACUGGAAUUCCUGGUGUAGCGGUGGAAUGCGCAGAUAUCAGGAGGAACACCGGUGGCGAAGGCGGGUCUCUGGGCAGUAACUGACGCUGAGGAGCGAAAGCGUGGGGAGCGAACAGGAUUAGAUACCCUGGUAGUCCAA
rnacentral:rRNA from 1 species